AAUCAACGCUGGCGGCGUGCCUAACACAUGCAAGUCGAACGCGAGAGGGGCUUCGGCCCUGAUUGAGUGGCAAACGGGUGAGUAACGCGUGGGUGACCUACCUUCGAGUGGGGGAUAACGUUCCGAAAGGGACGCUAAUACCGCAUAACAUCCUGUCUUUGGACAGAUGGAGAUCAAAGCCGGGAUCGUAAGACCUGGCGCUUGAGGAGGGGCCCGCGUCCGAUUAGCUAGUUGGNGGGUAAUGGCUCACCAAGGCAACGAUCGGUAGCCGGCCUGAGAGGGGCGACGGCCACACUGGGACUGAGACACGGCCCAGACUCCUACGGGAGCAGCAGUGGGAAUUGUCGCAAUGGGCGCAAGCCUGAACGACGCAACGCCGCGUGAAGGAUGAAGGUCUC
rnacentral:rRNA from 1 species